rnacentral:sRNA from 1 species
CACACACACACACACACACAUAGGUAUAGGUAAAUUGAAACUGCUCAAAGGCACUUUCAGAUUGCAAGAGUGUUGGGCUAGGACACCUAGAUCAGAAGUUUCUAAGUGGCCCCCGAGAGAAGAUCAUUGUGCUUUGCUGGCCCAGUAUUUGUUCUGUUCCCUAUUGUGUUUGCAGAGGUGCCCAGUGGCAGCAGACUUUGUAAAGAACAGCUGCUGGAUGAAGCAAUUAUUCCUGGAACUUCCAAGUCGUAACCUCAGAUCCACAGGACCUGAAAAUCUGCCAUGGAUACACCGGGCCAGCAGUGAUGAAGGUCUCCAUAUUCCUAUAGGCAAAACCCUCUGCCUUGGUCCACCUGGAAGUACAGCCUGUCUGUCAGCUCAACCCACCAUGCUACAUCUUCAAGCAUCCCAGCUUUCCUAAGCCAAAGAAUUACCAAGAACAUAUUGGUAUCAGCAUACAGAGGUGUGUUGGUAUGAAUGUGUCCUAGAAAUGGAGGAAACCCACAAAGGAGGAACGGGAUGGCACGUGUGCACGCUACUGCAGGAGGUGAGAGUUCAUCUCAGCAUGCAAGAUCCUCCUGGAGCCCUGCUGCACUUGGAAUCUCCUGCAUGCCCCAACCUCUGGAUGAUGAUUCUGCAAAGUAGUCAACUGAAGGCAAUUCCAGAAAGAACUGCAGUGU